CGGAAAUUCGAACAUGCCGAAUGGUGUU
rnacentral:piRNA from 1 species